AUGUCUGACGCUAGUAGUAGUGAUGGAGUGGCAGUCCUAGGUGAUGCUGGAGAAGCUAACAAUUAUGAGCAGCCAUUGCCUGCUACUGAAGCACAGCCGCCUCCUACUCCAACUUCUAGAAUUUCAGUUAGGAAAGUCAUAGAAGUAAUCGAGACAUUCGAUGAGUACAAGAGAUGGCUUGUUACUGAAAUUGGGUUUGAUGGAAUGUUAAAGCUGCCUAUGCUCCAGAAGCUUAACCUCAAGUUCAGUGCUUGGACUAUGAGCAAGGUAUGCGUCGAGCGUCGAGCAAUUGUUCUGUCAGAAACCAAGAUUCUCAAGUUUUUUGCGGAGGACAUACACAAGGUGUUCGGCAUACCAUGUGGACACCGGAAUGUUAAAGGGCGUGAUGGAUUCAUUAAGCCAGAAGCUGUAAGAUUUAUUAAAACCACACUAGGGAUGGAUAAGACAGGAGUGCAUAGCCUACGCGCUGCCGAGGAAUUCCUUUUGCGUGACAUUUCCGAGACGUCCAGCAAGCUAGAGAAGGAUUGCUUCCAGAUUGCAUUCAUCAUUUUUGUGAUGGGGCAUGUGCUGGCACCCAGAACAAAACAUGAUUAUGGAACGAUAGACUACUGGGGUGCGCUGGCAAACACGGAGAAUAUUGCACAAUUCAACUGGUGUGAGUUUGUACUGGAGUUUUUGCUCGAGGGAGUCAGGCGGCUUAAGAAUGACAUGAUGGCCAACAACCCGAACACCAACCUGGUUGGUUGCCACUUGUUUUUGCAGAUUUUCUUCCUCGACAACGUUGACCUGGGACUUUUCAACAAGAAGCAUAAUGUCCUUCCUCGGAUUAGUGACUUUGACCAAAACAGCAUCAGAAACACGAUAACCAUGGCAACCGACAUUGGGAAGGGCCCUGCAUCAUACACAAAAUGCAUGAUUCGACAGGGCCAUGAUAUAUGCUAUGGACGCUGCAACAUCCAAGAUUCUACUGAGAGAAGCUCCAACAAGCAACUAGUAGGUGGUAAUAUGGAUCAACAUCACAGCAACCCAACCAAUGACAGGGAGGAGUCAGUGCAUGCAUCAUCAUCUGCAGCUGUCAACCUAAUGGAUGUGCAGACACCUCUACGAGCGCUCGGGCCAAUUGAUUUUGCAGAGCAUAUGCGUACCCGAUACCCUAGCUUGGUCAAGGACGAGUUGAGUUUCAUACUAAAGGAGCAGAAUGCCAAAUGCCAGCGUGAAAUCAACACUGCUCGUGUCAAUGUGCAGGCAGACAUGAUUAAGUUUGUCGACAAGUUGAUGACAUCGAUCAGCAAGAGGUGCAUUUGCUGUGCUGCUCGAGGUUUUACUGACUGUCCAGCAAGAGCAAUUCAGCCAUGCCCAGGGGUCGAAAUUCAGACUCCUAUUGGCCCGAAAAUCCCAUGCGUUAGGCUCGACAUGUCUGCUUGCAAAGGGUGCCACGUCUCGCCCCAGGUCUGA
rnacentral:rRNA from 1 species